CUGCAGCCCGAGUGGUGAUCGAUUUUAUUGAGCCUAAAGCGUCCGUAGCCGGACUAGUAAACCCUUGGGUAAAUUGGGCAGCUUAACUGUCCGAAUUCCGAGGAGACUGGCAGACUUGGACCGGGAGAGGUCAGAGGUACUCUUGGGGUAGGGGUAAAAUCCUGUAAUCCUAAGAGGACCACCAGUGGCGAAGGCGUCUGACUAGAACGGAUCCGACGGUGAGGGACGAAGCCCUGGGGCGCAAACCGGAUUAGAUACCCGAGUAGUCC
rnacentral:rRNA from 1 species